UUCACUUAUUAUUUAUAAGUAGUUUCUAUCACUUCUCAGCCUUUUGGCUAAAAUCAAGUGUAGUUGACUAGAAACUGGGAUACAACGUUGACUGAGAAGUGGUGACAGAGGAUGUCGUGCUGUUUUCUCUUCUUAAGCAGAACGCACCCAGUACUUCCUCCAAAGAAGUAGAACAGGAC